AGAAAAUCUACGUAAUAAAUUAUAGACACGAAGGAUGAAAAUUUGAUAAUGGAGUGUUUAGAUUCUCGAUUGGAGGGACAAUCUUAUUUAAAUGCAAGGAUUUAUGGGUAAUCUCUGAGACAUUUCUAUUUGAAGGAGAGGCUUUCGGUAAAACCGGAAGAUGUACGAUAACAGGCUAUAAAAGUGACUUUGAUUAAUGCGUAAUAGUUUUUAGACCACGUAAAUUCGUUCGCUUCUCUCUUGUCGAUCCUUCAAACACUUUAAAUCCACUUUGAAUUUUAACUAACAAUAGUAAUAUCACGACUUAACAAUUCAAUUUUGAUAGAGAGUUUAGUAUUGAUAAAAAUAAUAAAAUACUUAAUUUAAUAAUUUCCUCGUCGAUUCAGCGUAAAUAAUAACUAGAAAUUAUAAUUUUCCGAGAAUUUGAUCCUCCAAGUGAUCUUUCCUCCAAGAACGAGGUCUACGAGGUGCAACGAACUUAAAUUGGUCGUAAUUCGUUCCAUAAAGAUAAGUUGUACGUGAGUCGAAUGACGAAUGAUCCUCAGUCGCUUUACUUUCCACGGCGUGAACGAUUAAACUACCUACGAAACGGGACGACACUCGAGCAUCCCCCUAAAACGAACAAAAGAGAAGGUCGUGACCUGGACAAGCGCUACUUCUCGAGAUGCUUAAACCAUACAUAUGUAACACGAGUGUCUGAAGAUCGAUGAGCAACUUAUCUCGUCGUCUUCUCCAAGAAUCGAGUGGUUAUCGGUGAGAAGAGAAAGAGCCGAUUUUCACGGUUAUCCCGAUCAUUCGGCCUCGAAAACCGCCUUUUUCCACGGCUCGAGCGUAGGGGAAUCGAGCGUGAGCCAGGUGAGCGCGCUUUGAAAUGGAAAUUGGCACCGGUCUCUUGGAUUCUGGACUAACGACACGGCAAAUCGAAUUACCAGCAGGGUCGAUCGGACCACGACGCGGCCGAUUUCGCUAUCCCUUUGAAUACUCCCCCCCAAGAGCAACGAUUAAUCGAAUCUCGAAUUAACGAGGCCCCCGAAACGGGUAUUUUUUCUCUCUGAAGAUGAAAUGGAUUUCAAAAAGUUGGAAGGAAACAAUUUCUCUUUUAAAUUCUUCGUUAAAAUCGAUCGAAAAAUUAAUCAUCAAUUCCAAAUUGUGUGCUUGUAUUUCAUUUUCUCGACCGAUUUUCGUCGUAUAAAGAAAUUGUUGUGUAUCGGUCGAUUCUUCGAUCUCAUCGAAGAAACGAAAUUUCUUCGACUCUUUCGGUCGAGCGUCCUUCGGGUGUGGAUCUUUGGGAGAGAUCCAUCCGCAAUGAAAGUUCGGUUAUGUAUUUGGCAAAUACUGGCGGUAACCUUGAAGGACGAGCGAUAUUGAAAUACUUGCGAGCUGGAUAUUCAAGAUGCAAGAUAGCUUCAUAGUUAUUUUCAAUAAAACGGCGAUGCGUGCGUGCGAUGUUAAUGUGUUAUUGGAUAUCGAUUUUAUAUUCUAAAGUAGUAAGCAGCCCCCGCUACUAUUCUCCGAAAAUCUGUAUCCGGUAUUUAGUAAUUGGCAUCCUACCAACUGAUUGAAAUAGUUUCUCGCGUUAUCGCACAUUGAUUUCUCCGUUAAACGGAUUAAAACGGAUGAUAAAAGAGUUGGAAUUUUUCCACGAUCAUAACUUUUUUCCCUUCUUUUUAUUAUCGAAAUAAUAAUGGAGAUGGAAUUACAAUUACUUGCGUUGGAAUUAAUUAAAAAAUAUCUUGUAAUUAAAAUCGGUUCACACCAGAUUCCCUGGCUAUAAUAAAAAUUAUAUAAUUUAAAUUUUUGUCAUUGAAAAAUUGGUUCUUUGAUUUGUCUCGAGUUCUAUUGGAUAUCGUAAGUUGUUUAUUAUUCUGGAGUCUGUCAGAGUGUGGGAUAGGUUAGUGAAACGAGCGAAAGGUCAGAGAAAGCGAAAGAAGAUGGAUGAUGGUGAAUGAACGAAAAUUAUUCUUUCCUUUGCACGACGAUAUCUCGCAAGUCAAAAUUUCUUUAAUAUUAGAUUCUCCUGAUAUUUUUAGCAUUUCCACGAAUAAAUAAUAUUAGAUUUUGACUUCUUCCACCUUCGUUAAUUAUACUUUUAUUAAGAAAUUUAUUUUAUCCAAGACCAGGAAUAGGAUGAACAGUAUAUCC